UACGAAGGGUGCAAGCGUUACUCGGAAUACUGGGCGUAAAGCGUGCGCAGGCGGUUCGUUGUGUCGGCGGUGAAAGCCCCGGGCUCAACCUUGGAAUUGCCUUUGAUACUGGCAGUCUUGAGUACGGAAGAGGUAUGUGGAACUCCGAGUGUAGAGGUGAAAUUCGUAGAUAUUCGGAAGAACACCAGUGGCGAAGGCGACAUACUGGUCCGUUACUGACGCUGAGGCUCGAAAGCGUGGGAGCAAACAGG
rnacentral:rRNA from 1 species